rnacentral:rRNA from 1 species
GUGCCAGCAGCCGCGGUAAUACCGGCAGCCCGAGUGAUGGCCGAUCUUAUUGGGCCUAAAGCGUCCGUAGCUGGCCGCGCAAGUCCGUCGGGACAUCCACCUGCCCAACAGGUGGGCGUCCGGCGGAAACUGCACAGCUUGGGACCGGAAGGCUCGAUGGGUACGUUCGGGGUAGGAGUGAAAUCCCAUAAUCCCGCACGGACCACCGAUGGCGAAAGCACUUCGAGAAAACGGAUCCGACAGUGAGGGACGGAAGCCAGGGUCUCCAACCGGAUUAGAAACCCUGGUAGUCC